rnacentral:rRNA from 1 species
GAUGAACGCUGGCGGCGUGCCUAAUACAUGCAAGUCGAGCGAACAGACGAGGAGCUUGCUCCUCUGACGUUAGCGGCGGACGGGUGAGUAACACGUGGAUAACCUACCUAUCAGACUGGGAUAACUUCGGGAAACCGGAGCUAAUACCGGAUAAUAUAUUGAACCGCAUGGUUCAAUAGUGAAAGACGGUUUUGCUGUCUCUUAUAGAUGGAUCUGCGCCGCAUUAGCUAGUUGGUAAGGUAACGGCUUACCAAGGCAACGAUGCGUAGACGAACUGAGAGGGUGAUCGGCCACACUGGAACUGAGACACGGUCCAGACUCCUACGGGAGGCAGCAGUAGGGAAUCUUAGGCAAUGGGCGAAAGCCUGACGGAGCAACGCCGCGUGAGAGAUGAAGGUCUUCGGAUCGUAAAACUCUGUUAUUAGGGAAGAACAAAUGUGUAAGUAACUAUGCACGUCUUGACGGUACCUAAUCAGAAAGCCACGGCUAACUACGUG